AUGAACGCUGGCGGCGUGCCUAAUACAUGCCAGUCGAGCGAACAGACGAGGAGCUUGCUCCUCUGACGUUAGCGGCGGACGGGUGAGUAACACGUGGAUAACCUACCUAUAAGACUGGGAUAACUUCGGGAAACCGGAGCUAAUACCGGAUAAUAUAUUGAACCGCAUGGUUCAAUAGUGAAAGACGGUUUUGCUGUCACUUAUAGAUGGAUCCGCGCCGCAUUAGCUAGUUGGUAAGGUAACGGCUUACCAAGGCAACGAUGCGUAGCCGACCUGAGAGGGGGAUCGGCCACACUGGAACUGAGACCCGGUCCAGACUCCUACGGGAGGCAGCAGUAGGGAAUCUUCCGCAAUGGGCGAAAGCUUGACGGAGCAACGCCGCGUGAGUGAUGAAGGUCUUCGGAUCGUAAAACUCUGUUAUUAGGGAAGAACAAAUGUGUAAGUAACUAUGCACGUCUUGACGGUACCUAAUCAGAAAGCCACGGCUAACUACGUG
rnacentral:rRNA from 1 species